UGCCAGCAGCCGCGGUAAUACGGAGGGUGCAAGCGUUAUCCGGAUUCACUGGGUUUAAAGGGUGCGUAGGUGGCUUUGUAAGUCAGUGGUGAAAGCCCGGAGCUUAACUCCGGAACUGCCAUUGAUACUGCUUAGCUUGAAUCAACUUGAGGUGGAUGGAAUAUUACAUGUAGCGGUGAAAUGCUUAGAUAUGUAAUAGAACACCGAUUGCGAAGGCAGUUCACUAAGGUUGUAUUGACACUGAGGCACGAAAGCGUGGGGAUCAAACAGGAUUAGAUACCCUGGUAGUCCACGCCUUAAACGAUGUAAACUCGACAUUAGCGAUAUACUGUUAGUGUCCAAGCGAAAGCGUUAAGUUUACCACCUGGGAAGUACGACCGCAAGGUUGAAACUCAAAUGAAUUGACGG
rnacentral:rRNA from 1 species